rnacentral:tRNA from 1 species
GUUAAUGCAGCAAAACUUGGACUUGCAGAAGCUCUAAGAUCUUCGCUUUAGGGGUUCAAAUCCUCUCAUUAACU